UACGUAGGGACCGAGCGUUGUCCGGAAUCAUUGGGCGUAAAGAGCGUGUAGGCGGCCACUUAAGUCCUGCGUGAAAUCUUGCGGCUCAACCGCAAGCGGUCGUGGGAAACUGGAAGGCUAGAGUGCGGGAGAGGAGAGUGGAAUUCCCGGUGUAGCGGUGAAAUGCGCAGAUAUCGGGAAGAACACCAGUGGCGAAAGCGGCUCUCUGGGGACCACCUGACGCUGAGGCGCGAAAGCGUGGGGAGCGAACCGG
rnacentral:rRNA from 1 species